CCUACGGGAGGCAGCAGUGGGGAAUCUUGCGCAAUGGGCGAAAGCCUGACGCAGCCAUGCCGCGUGAAUGAUGAAGGUCUUAGGAUUGUAAAAUUCUUUCACCGGGGACGAUAAUGACGGUACCCGGAGAAGAAGCCCCGGCUAACUUCGUGCCAGCAGCCGCGGUAAUACGAAGGGGGCUAGCGUUGCUCGGAAUUACUGGGCGUAAAGGGAGCGUAGGCGGAUAGUUUAGUCAGAGGUGAAAGCCCAGGGCUCAACCUUGGAAUUGCCUUUGAUACUGGCUAUCUUGAGUAUGGGAGAGGUAUGCGGAACUCCGAGUGUAGAGGUGAAAUUCGUAGAUAUUCGGAAGAACACCAGUGGCGAAGGCGGCAUACUGGCCCAUUACUGACGCUGAGGCUCGAAAGCGUGGGGAGCAAACAGGAUUAGAUACCCUGGUAGUCCACGCUGUAACGAUAGAGUGCUAGUUAGUCGGUCGAUGCAUGCAUGUCGGUGGUACGCGAGCUAACGACAUUAAGUACACUCCGCCGUCGGGUAGGUACGGUCGCGAAGAAGUUAAAACGUUAAACGGUAAGUUAGACGGCGUGAGACGUGCCGACGGACGACGACGAGGGAGGUUAGG
rnacentral:rRNA from 1 species